GAUGAACGCUAGCGGCAGGCCUAAUACAUGCAAGUCGAACGGUGUCUUCGGACAUAGUGGCGCACGGGUGCGUAACACGUAUGCAACCUACCUUACAUUGGGGGAUAGCCUUUCGAAAGGGAGAUUAAUACCGCAUAAGACAGUAGUCUGGCAUCAGACAGCUGUUAAAGAUUUAUCGAUGUAAGCUGGGCAUGCGUCCAAUUAGUUAGUUGGCGAGGUAACGGCUCACCAAGACUAUGAUUGGUAGGGGAACUGAGAGGUCAAUCCCCCACACUGGCACUGAGACACGGGCCAGACUCCUACGGGAGGCAGCAGUAGGGAAUAUUGGGCAACGGACGCAAGUCUGACCCAGCCAUGCCGCGUGCAGGAAGAAGGCGUUAUGCGUUGUAAACUGCUUUUAUACAGGAAGAAACGACUCUUGCGAGAGGCAUUGACGGUACUGUAUGAAUAAGCACCGGCUAACUCCGUGCCAGCCGCCGCAGUAACAC
rnacentral:rRNA from 1 species